AAAAAAAUCAAUUAAAAGUGAGUUUCAUCAUCAAGACAAUAGAACACAGUAGUGGAUCUGUAUUGGAAGAGACUAUAUAGGUGACUGCUCUGAAUUAAGCUAAAGAAUCACUAGGUAUACCUAGUACUUUUUAAAGCACAUUUUGUAAAAAUAUAUUUUUUUCCUUUAGAAUUAGAAAUUAAGGGACAGCAUCUGCUGAAUAAACUCUUCUCCUUCCAUACCUUAGUGCUGUCAAAAUGUUGGAAAUGAAACAACAUAGUGUGGAAGUACCUGGAUUUUGUGUAAAUAGUAACUGUAUGCUUAAACAGUUGAGGUUAGGAAGAGAGUUGUAAUUAAUAUCUUUAUGCUUAUGGAUUUCACUUUUAAUUAUUUUUUAGGGUUCUGUUUAGUUGGAUUUUUUUUCCUCAUAGAAGGCGUCUUUAAGAAAAAAUCUCAGAUGUUCGUUUCUGCAAGAUGUCCCACUGAGACCUCUGGAAAAAGCAAGAGGAAAAAAAGGAGAGUAUUUCUUUCAGCCUAUCAUGGAGUUCAGAGAGAUCACUUGUAAUGUCGCCCAAUAAACAAUAAUUGCACGGAGAGCUAGCCA
rnacentral:lncRNA from 1 species